rnacentral:rRNA from 1 species
GACAGAGGGUGCAAACGUUGCUCGGAAUUACUGGGCGUAAAGCGCGUGUAGGUGGCCACGCAAGUCAGGUGUGAAAGCCCAGGGCUCAACCCUGGAAGUGCACAUGAUACUACGUGGCUGGAGUACUGAAGAGGAGAGCGGAAUUCCCGGUGUAGAGGUGAAAUUCGUAGAUAUCGGGAGGAACACCAGUGGCGAAGGCGGCUCUCUGGGCAGAUACUGACACUGAGACGCGAAAGCGUGGGUAGCAAACAGGG